UGAAAUAUUGGGUUAAGUCCCGCACCGAGCGCAACCCUUAUCCUUGUUUGCCAGCACUUCGGGUGGGAACUCCAGGGAGACUGCCGGUGAUAAACCGGAGGAAGGUGGGGACGACGUCAAGUCAUCAUGGCCCUUACGAGUAGGGCUACACACGUGCUACAAUGGCGCAUACAGAGGGCGGCCAACUUGCGAAAGUGAGCGAAUCCCAAAAAGUGCGUCGUAGUCCGGAUUGGAGUCUGCAACUCGACUCCAUGAAGUCGGAAUCGCUAGUAAUCGUGGAUCAGAAUGCCACGGUGAAUACGUUCCCGGGCCUUGUACACACCGCCCGUCACACCAUGGGAGUGGGCUGCAAAAGAAGUGGGUAGUUUAACCUUCGGGAGGACGCUCACCACUUUGUGGUUCAUGACUGGGGUGAAGUCGUAACAAGGUAACCG
rnacentral:rRNA from 1 species